UUAGUGUGGCUGUCCAGGAGCUCACUGCCUGGCUCUGUGCAGGGAUUCAGGAAAGCACAGGGCUCUUUGCCAGUGAUGUGCAGUCCCUUUUCAUGAAGGUAGAGAUGAAGUUUUGGGCUGCUUGCUGUUACAGCUGCUCUGAGUCUGUGGGACUAGACUGAGGAGGCAGACCAGGUUGAAGACACGU
rnacentral:snoRNA from 1 species